rnacentral:rRNA from 1 species
CACGUAGGGUGCGAGCGUUGUCCGGAAUUAUUGGGCGUAAAGCGCGCGCAGGCGGUUUCUUAAGUCUGAUGUGAAAUCUCGCGGCUCAACCGUGAGCGGUCAUUGGAAACUGGGAAACUUGAGUGCAGAAGAGAAGAGCGGAAUUCCACGUGUAGCGGUGAAAUGCGUAGAGAUGUGGAGGAACACCAGUGGCGAAGGCGGCUCUUUGGUCUGUAACUGACGCUGAGGCGCGAAAGCGUGGGGAGCGAACAGG